UUGGGAUAGCUCAGUUGGUAGAGCAGAGGACUGAAAAUCCUCGU
rnacentral:tRNA from 2 species